UUCCAUUCCAAUUAGAAUUAGGGUUACACAAUACAGUCCACUGCCGCUGCGCCUCUCAUCUCUAAACGACUAAACCAUUCUGUAGUUCAUUCACCACUUCUAAUCGUCGGUCGUCUGCUCUUUGGUUUCUCCCCAAGAUAGGAAGAUCCUGAUGGAGUUUGUUGCUUGCUGCAUUGACCAUGAAUUUGGAAGAAAGAAUGAAGUAUUUUUUGUUGAAUUUUGUGGGAUUUUUGUUGGAUUUUGUUACUAAGAAAUUAUUGAUGUUUUUAUGUUUGGAUUAGUUUUUAUAAUCAGCAAUUGGAUGUUUUUGGAUGUUUUU